ACUCUGUCAAUUCUGCACAAUCUUUGUAGAAGUUGGCUUCAUCUGUGUGACUUUCAUAAUGGGGGGAGAGAGAAAAGAUCUCCUGGGGGAGGCAUUAGACUGGCCUAUGGUGUCCUCUCCUUGAGGGGCACAACAGGU